UACGUAGGGUGCGAGCGUUGUCCGUAAUUAUUGGGCGUAAAGAGCUUGUAGGCGGUUUGUCGCGUCUGCUGUGAAAAUCCGGGGCUCAACCCCGGACUUGCAGUGGGUACGGGCAGACUAGAGUGUGGUAGGGGAGACUGGAAUUCCUGGUGUAGCGGUGAAAUGCGCAGAUAUCAGGAGGAACACCGAUGGCGAAGGCAGGUCUCUGGGCCACUACUGACGCUGAGAAGCGAAAGCAUGGGGAGCGAACAGG
rnacentral:rRNA from 1 species